rnacentral:rRNA from 1 species
UACGAAGGGUGCAAGCGUUGUUCGGAUUUAUUGGGCGUAAAGGGCGAGUAGGCGGACUGGAAAGUAAGGUGUGAAAUCUCGGGGCCCAACCCCGAAACUGCGCCUUAAACUAUCAGUCUAGAAUCCCGGAGAGGAAAGGGGAAUUUCGCAUGUAGGAGUAAAAUCCGUAGAGAUGCGAAGGAACACCGGAGGCGAAGGCGCCUUUCUGGAAGGGUAUUGACGCUGAGGCGCGAAAGCGUGGGGAG